AACGAAGGUGUUGUCAUCAGUUGUUGAAAAUAUGAAAUAUUCAUGUUGGUAUUACUAGUUCUACGGUCAUGUAAACGUAACAAAAAGUCAUGCGAAUGGACAUCAAAAUGUUGACACAGAUCGGUAUUUGAGACUUAAAUCUUCAGGAUAUAACUUCAUAAAACUGGCGGAUAAAUCAAACUGCGAAGUUCUUUCGAUUGGCGAGUAAAACAGUUGUGUCUCUUCGUAGGAACGAUGAUACAAUAUUUACGUAUGCAUUCAAAUGAUGCUGUUCAAGGUAACAAGAAGAAGUUAACAUUUGGCAGUGUGAGAAAGGAAAUUUACUUCUGCAUGACGAGAAAAUGAUGUUUGCAUGCAUAUUUUAUCGGAGGCAGCUGCAGAACCACCAGCAGGAAACCCUUUUUGAUAUUAUGUUGUGAUAGACUGUUUGACGGUUUUCGGCCCGCUUUGGCGAGACGGUAUUACGAUAGUUUUAUACGAAAAUCUGCGAUUAAGUCCGGAAAUCUCGCUUGUGGAGAGAAGAAACUCGAUUAUGAUGUUCCCGCUAAAGAAAAAAAUCUUGCGUCGAACCAGAAGCUGUGUGAAUACAUCCCCGAGAAGAAAGUCACUGCGUCGGGCCAGCUGCAGUUUUUUACCAUCAUCUGAAGAUAGUAUCUUUCAGGAAUAAAGUCUUUUCGCUGGACCAGCUACUCUGCCUAACUGUGACCUCUUUUUCUCUGUCUCUCCUUCCGGUGGUGCUCAAACUCCGGAGCUCUCGAUCCAUAGGCGGACGCCCUACGACUGAGCUAUCAUGGCACACGAUUCCGUUAACAGUGUUUUGAUUGUGUCUAAUUGUAGAGCGAUGUUUAAAAAUGUUAAAAUAAUUAUUUACGACGUUAAGUCAGCAACGGCCGCAUACUAGCGUUUUUAUAAAGCUAAGCUUGUUUACAUUAAAUUCAUUUACAAUUAAUGUGCGAAGCCACUGCUGCAGACGACAAUUUAUAUUGGAAGCGAGACAAGAACAGACGAAUACAAUACAUAUCACUUCGCGCUAAGGUAACCACAGAGACAGUUUGCUGAGGUAUUGACUCACUAAAUACUCUAUAUGAAAUAGGGGGACUUUGAGCUGCUGCAGCGCGCACUGAACAAUGCACACACCGCGGGCCAUUUGAAAGGUCUGUGACUUAGUUACUUUUUCUUGAAGAAUGUUGUCAGUGCAGUAUACAAAUUUAUUGAAAGAAUGACUUAUUUUCCGUGACAA